UACGGAGGGUGCAAGCGUUAUCCGGAUUUAUUGGGUUUAAAGGGUCCGUAGGCGGACUUAUAAGUCAGUGGUGAAAGCCUGUCGCUUAACGAUAGAACUGCCAUUGAUACUGUAAGUCUUGAGUAUAUUUGAGGUAGCUGGAAUAAGUAGUGUAGCGGUGAAAUGCAUAGAUAUUACUUAGAACACCAAUUGCGAAGGCAGGUUACCAAGAUAUAACUGACGCUGAGGGACGAAAGCGUGGGGAGCGAACAGGAUUAGAUACCCUGGUAGUCCACGCCGUAAACGAUGCUAACUCGUUUUUGGGCUUUAGGGUUCAGAGACCAAGCGAAAGUGAUAAGUUAGCCACCUGGGGAGUACGCUCGCAAGAGUG
rnacentral:rRNA from 1 species